AAGGCGGUGUUUCCCAGAGGAAGCAGUGGCCCAUGGGCAGCCUCUGUUGCAGGAAGGGAGGCCAUGCCAGGCACAGUCCCAGGAGAUGAACUUGAUGAUGAAGAUGAUCUGGAUUCCUAGUCCAUAUCAGUUACUGAGCCUGAUGAUGAGGAAGAUGAUGAGGAUGCAGCCGGCACCACAAGACAUGCUCAGAAUAUCUGGGAGAGCAUGAGAAGAGUUUUCUACCAGGGAACACAUGGUUUGAUUAAGUUAAUGGCCAUUGUGGCUGGUAGAGCACUUUUCCUGAUGAUGUGCUAUGCAGGAAUCUGGUAUUGCUGGAAGAGAAAAGGGUGAGUGUUUUGCUGAUCUCGGCCUCAAACAGCUUCUUGAAAGGCUGGUCAUAGUCGGGAAACAUUCCCAGUGAGGCUGCUGUGCACUUCUGGCUAGUUCUUGGUUGCCCAAAUAACUGUGCUGAGAGUUCUGCUGCUGCCCAGGGCUUUCAUUGGCCUCUUAAUUGCUGGGCCUUGUCCUGGGGAGCCCGCUGGGGCUGCAGCCAGUGCUGGCUCCCACUGAGGCUGCCUGGCCAAGAGCAGCCCCAGGAGCAGCGGGCAGAGGCAAAGCAAGGUGGGCAGGAGAAAGAGUGGGGACGAGAUUGCCCUUGAAAGG